rnacentral:lncRNA from 1 species
GAAAGUACAUAUAUGUUCAUGAUUCUUUAAUUAUUUCUCAUAUAAAUCUGCUUGACAAUGUGACAAAUAUUACAGUUACACAAUAACGUAACUCACUUGAUUAACAUAUAUUUGAACUUGAAUAAGAAAAAUAUAUUAAAAUGAUAACAAUUUUUCUGGUAAAAAUGGUUAUGUAAUUGUUUAAGGACCAAGAAUAGGAGUCAACUUCUCUACACUAUUUAGGUACAUACUUGUGGAUCAUAAAGGACUCGACUUCCUUUAUAAAUCAAAUAGAAGACACUACUUAAUUAUAGAUACUCUAUAAUGCAGAAACUAUUUAAACGUAUAAAUACGUGAUAGCAAGAAAAUAGAAGUGCUAGAUUUACCAUAUGAGAUGAUGUUUAUGAGAAAUAUGCACACAAAUAUAAAGAAUAAAUAAGAAAUAUUGUCAAUUAUGAUCUAAUAUUUUUUUACUUCUCCCUAGUAGUACCCAUCCUUUUUGCUCUGUUGUGACUCAACUAUCAACUUUUGGAUUGAAAGUGAGAGUGUUUAUACAUAUGGAUACAUGCAUAAAUCUAUCAUUCAAUUUUCUAUCCUUUUAUUUUCCUUAUAAUUGUAUUUCCUUUCUUACCUCUCCUCCUCAGUCCUCAAUCCUCACCCAUCAUUCACACUCACCAAAUGCAACAUAUACGUCCAAAAGUACUACUGGGAGAGAAAAAAGAGAAGGAUCUCAACUACAUAGAGAAAUUCUCUAAAAAGUUAACCAUGUAUAAAAAAGGAUAAUCUUGAAAAAAAUGUAAAGUAAAACAACAUGAAACAAUUAUGACACAACGAAUUAGUCAAUGUAGAGGCCAAAUUAUAAGAAGAUAAAAGAAGAAGAUACCUUUGCUAUGUAUCUUAGUACGUAUACUAUAUGAGUUGAAAUAUAAGACCAAAACCUAUUUUGGUACUUUUAAUAACCUGUCAAACAGUUAGAAGAAGAGGAGAAGGUGUAUGAAAGGAUGGUCUUUUCAUCUCCCAUUUAUUUGAUUUAAGUGUGUUUUAAUUCUAAUAGAUGUCUCUAACAGAUAGUGUUUCCUCACUAACUGCUCCAUUAGAAAUUUUCAAUUUUGUUUCUUCAUUAAUUGAUUAAUGCAAUUAGAAAUAAGAUAAAUAAAAAAACAAACAUAAAAAGUCCAAAAAUAGAAGAGAAUAGAUAAAUAGGAAUGGAGGUCAUAGAGAGGAGCCACAUCACCUCCUCUAUGAUCCUCCUUUAUAUAUAUAUAUAUGAUUGGCUUAAGUCAUCUGUAACCACUAAAGUUGUCCGUAGAUUUCACAUGGACACCUCAUCUUAGACUUAUUUCAAUUGAACACUUUUAUUAGUAAAAAAAAUUACCUAUUAAACAUUUUUUGACAAUCAACUAAAAAUAGAAAUUGUGUGUUAUACCUUCUCGGUGAUGUGGCAUAGUAACUAAUCAGAAAAGGACAUGUGGCAUUGGGCCCAUAAUAAUAAUUAGAAUAUAUAUUAAAAAUAAAAUAAAAUAAAAAUUUGUUUUCAGCCAAAACAAGAAAAAGAGAUACUUUUCUCCGCUUCUUCUUCUUCGCCAAAACAUACUAGGCACCGAC